rnacentral:rRNA from 1 species
GGUUAAGCGACUAAGCGUACACGGUGGAUGCCCUGGCAGUCAGAGGCGAUGAAGGACGUGCUAAUCUGCGAUAAGCGUCGGUAAGGUGAUAUGAACCGUUAUAACCGGCGAUUUCCGAAUGGGGAAACCCAGUGUGAUUCGUCACACUAUCAUUACGUGAAUACAUAGCGUAAUGAAGCGAACCGGGGGAACUGAAACAUCUAAGUACCCCGAGGAAAAGAAAUCAACCGAGAUUCCCCCAGUAGCGGCGAGCGAACGGGGAGCAGCCCAGAGUCUGAAUCAGCUUGUGUGUUAGUGGAACGGUCUGGAAAGUCCGACGGUACAGGGUGAUAGUCCCGUACACCAAAAUGCACAGGUUGUGAACUCGAAGAGUAGGGCGGGACACGUGGUAUCCUGUCUGAAUAUGGGGGGACCAUCCUCCAAGGCUAAAUACUCCUGACUGACCGAUAGUGAACCAGUACCGUGAGGGAAAGGCGAAAAGAACCCCGGCGAGGGGAGUGAAAAAGAACCUGAAACCGUGUACGUACAAGCAGUGGGAGCCUCUUUAUGGGGUGACUGCGUACCUUUUGUAUAAUGGGUCAGCGACUUAUAUUCUGUAGCAAGGUUAACCGUAUAGGGGAGCCGAAGGGAAACCGAGUCUUAACUGGGCGUUAAGUUGCAGGGUAUAGACCCGAAACCCGGUGAUCUAGCCAUGGGCAGGUUGAAGGUUGGGUAACACUAACUGGAGGACCGAACCGACUAAUGUUGAAAAAUUAGCGGAUGACUUGUGGCUGGGGGUGAAAGGCCAAUCAAACCGGGAGAUAGCUGGUUCUCCCCGAAAGCUAUUUAGGUAGCGCCUCGUGAAUUCAUCUUCGGGGGUAGAGCACUGUUUCGGCUAGGGGGUCAUCCCGACUUACCAACCCGAUGCAAACUGCGAAUACCGAAGAAUGUUAUCACGGGAGACACACGGCGGGUGCUAACGUCCGUCGUGAAGAGGGAAACAACCCAGACCGCCAGCUAAGGUCCCAAAGUCAUGGUUAAGUGGGAAACGAUGUGGGAAGGCACAGACAGCCAGGAUGUUGGCUUAGAAGCAGCCAUCAUUUAAAGAAAGCGUAAUAGCUCACUGGUCGAGUCGGCCUGCGCGGAAGAUGUAACGGGGCUAAACCAUGCACCGAAGCUGCGGCAGCGACACUAUGUGUUGUUGGGUAGGGGAGCGUUCUGUAAGCCGUUGAAGGUGGCCUGUGAGGGUUGCUGGAGGUAUCAGAAGUGCGAAUGCUGACAUAAGUAACGAUAAUGCGGGUGAAAAACCCGCACGCCGGAAGACCAAGGGUUCCUGUCCAACGUUAAUCGGGGCAGGGUGAGUCGACCCCUAAGGCGAGGCCGAAAGGCGUAGUCGAUGGGAAACAGGUUAAUAUUCCUGUACUUGGUGUUACUGCGAAGGGGGGACGGAGAAGGCUAUGUUAGCCGGGCGACGGUUGUCCCGGUUUAAGCAUGUAGGCGGAGGUUCCAGGUAAAUCCGGUACCUUUUAACGCUGAGGUGUGAUGACGAGGCACUACGGUGCUGAAGUAACAAAUGCCCUGCUUCCAGGAAAAGCCUCUAAGCAUCAGGUAACACGAAAUCGUACCCCAAACCGACACAGGUGGUCAGGUAGAGAAUACCAAGGCGCUUGAGAGAACUCGGGUGAAGGAACUAGGCAAAAUGGUGCCGUAACUUCGGGAGAAGGCACGCUGAUAUGUAGGUGAAGUGAUUUACUCAUGGAGCUGAAAUCAGUCGAAGAUACCAGCUGGCUGCAACUGUUUAUUAAAAACACAGCACUGUGCAAACACGAAAGUGGACGUAUACGGUGUGACGCCUGCCCGGUGCCGGAAGGUUAAUUGAUGGGGUUAUCCGUAAGGAGAAGCUCUUGAUCGAAGCCCCGGUAAACGGCGGCCGUAACUAUAACGGUCCUAAGGUAGCGAAAUUCCUUGUCGGGUAAGUUCCGACCUGCACGAAUGGCGUAAUGAUGGCCAGGCUGUCUCCACCCGAGACUCAGUGAAAUUGAACUCGCUGUGAAGAUGCAGUGUACCCGCGGCAAGACGGAAAGACCCCGUGAACCUUUACUAUAGCUUGACACUGAACACUGGUCCUUGAUGUGUAGGAUAGGUGGGAGGCUUUGAAGUGUGGACGCCAGUCUGCAUGGAGCCAUCCUUGAAAUACCACCCUUUAAUGGCUGGUGUUCUAACGUGGACCCGUAAUCCGGGUUGCGGACAGUGUCUGGUGGGUAGUUUGACUGGGGCGGUCUCCUCCUAAAGAGUAACGGAGGAGCACGAAGGUUAGCUAAUCCUGGUCGGACAUCAGGAGGUUAGUGCAAAGGCAUAAGCUAGCUUGACUGCGAGAGUGACGGCUCGAGCAGGUGCGAAAGCAGGUCUUAGUGAUCCGGUGGUUCUGAAUGGAAGGGCCAUCGCUCAACGGAUAAAAGGUACUCCGGGGAUAACAGGCUGAUACCGCCCAAGAGUUCAUAUCGACGGCGGUGUUUGGCACCUCGAUGUCGGCUCAUCACAUCCUGGGGCUGAAGUAGGUCCCAAGGGUAUGGCUGUUCGCCAUUUAAAGUGGUACGCGAGCUGGGUUUAGAACGUCGUGAGACAGUUCGGUCCCUAUCUGCCGUGGGCGCUGGAGAAUUGAGGGGGGCUGCUCCUAGUACGAGAGGACCGGAGUGGACGCAUCACUGGUGUUCGGGUUGUCAUGCCAAUGGCAUUGCCCGGUAGCUAAAUGCGGAAGAGAUAAGUGCUGAAAGCAUCUAAGCACGAAACUUGCCCCGAGAUGAGUUCUCCCUGAGACUAUAAGUCUCCUGAAGGAACGUUAAAGACGAUGACGUUGAUAGGUCGGGUGUGUAAGUGUAGCGAUACAUUGAGCUAACCGAUACUAAUGAACCGUGAGGCUUAACCUU